GCUAAAUUUUUUUCUCUUCAUUUGCAUAAUUAUCCUCCAUAUCUUCUACACCCUCAUACACUAACACCUCAGACAUAGCUUGCCAUUCAUUAGCCUGUCCCCUACUGUCCCUUAUCCUGGAAAGCUCCCUGGCUACCCAGUCAUGAGACAAGCCGUGUUCAACAGGGGACUCUGUUCUUCCAUUACAAAUGUCCCUGUGUGUGUGUGUGUGUGUGUGUGUGUGUGUGUGAGAGAGAGAGAGAGAGAGAGAGAGAUUAGGUCCAAGCAGAGCUAAGGUUGACAAGACACAUACAAAGGGAGCAAUCGGUUUCUCUGCGGCAAAGGUGGUAGCUCCCAGGCACUACUUCUGAGGUUUUCCUGAGUCGUGCCUGGAUAUUAAUGAUAGUCACUCGUUCAUUCACUCAUUCAAUGACUACUAUUGGAGUCAGCUCUACACCGGGCUUUGUGCUGGAUGCUCUGUAGUUACAAGCACGGCUGCAGAGGUAUUCCUUGCCUGAAUUCAGGGAGCUUUUAGUCCAGUAGGAGCAUAGGUAUUGCCCAUUUCGAUAUAUAUGAAGAUGGAGGUUUUACAAGUGGUAACAAAACCUAAGUCAGAAGCAAAUAGCCUUUGGGAGUGGGGGAACACCGCCUCCGAACUCCUGAAGUUUCCAUGUUGGCUGGGGGACAUGAAUUAGCACAAUAUCCAACAUUUUUCAGUUUGCAUUUCAUUCUCUGAAAGUCACUCGUUUGUCUUCAUUUCUGCUGGUCACCUUUUCCUGUUCAAUCUUACUUGCUUGGUGAGUUUGGGAGGAGGACCCAGACACGUAGAGUUCCACUCCUUCCAUCCCUUUCUCCUUGGGAGCUUCUGCCCACUGGAACGACAUGCCCUCGUCUGCUUCUCCACUCUCCGACCCCGCCCUGCGGGAAGGCCUAUGGAUUUCAGCCCAGCCUGAGGCUGAGCAGGAAGCUCUGACCUCAGCGAACAUCCUGGCUCUUUAUUCUCAUCUGAGCAGCGCAGCUGUCAGCGCACAGUAGGUGAUCAGGGCUACACCUCCCAAUGUGUGAAUUGCCUCUUACUGACCAUGUGGGUGCUAUGACAACUGCUGUUUCCUCUUACCGCAUCAGCAUUGUCAUCAUGAUGUGAAAGUGAAGGCUCAGAAGAAGGGAUUACAUGUUCAUAGUAACCAGAACAACAGCAACUACAUAAAAUUGCAUGCUGGGAGCUAAAAAGGAAAAAUCAGAAGAUGCGUAUGUUUGGGAGAAAUUCUUAAAGUGUGACAAAGGUUUCCUUAAGAUACUCUACAUUUAGGAUUAUGCCAUCUACGAAUAGAGCACUGCAGGUCUCUUAUCAAGAAAGGUCAAUUAUAAACCUACAAACCAUAUUCAGAUUUCCCCCCGAAGAAAUGCAUUUCCAAAACACAAAAGAAAAAAUAUUACCCAAAUAAACAGAAGAGGGGUGUGAACAGUCCUUUAAACCUCUUGCCUACUGUCUGUUUCCCUGCCCUGGGCGUAUUUUUCAUAUUCACCAAUACCAUCUACAGACCGUCUUUAAUGGUGAGGAGCCUGCAGAGGUUCUGCCAGUGUGACCUCCUCAUUAUUUGAUCCGUUGCUCAGAUAUAAAUGUAAAGACCUACCCAUUCUGCUCCUUUUCCUCUCCCGUCUCUGCAAGUUUCCCGCCAGCGUUGCUUUCUUCUCUCCUGUAUGUAUUCAAUCAUGUGAAUCAAAACUUGGAUGCUCUAUCAUUCUGGAUGCCAUGUGUUUAGUAGUGUGUUUUGAGUAGAUUCAACAAGACCUAGGAGGGAAAGCAAAAGAGAAGAGAAUGGCAUGGGGAGAGCAGAUGGGCCAACUGGGCAUUUGGAGCAACACAAGCAAGUCCAGGUGACUGCUCAGCAAUUUGGAGAGAAUCAUCAGUCACUUCUGGAGCAUGACUGUGAAGAUUUUAUCCAAUACAACACACAGGUGCAGUCUGUGCAAAACAGAUGAGUCAAAAUGCCUGUUGACUCUGAGGACUGAAACACACGCCAAACCCUACUCUUCCCUACCUGAGUGGAACUGUCUUCAAAAUGAGCACCAUCAAAAAGGAUGUAACUGAUAGUCAACUUCUACUUCCCGACGGAUCCAACAGAGCUAGCACUGGGCUAAGUGAAAGUUAGAUGAUGUCAUAGUAAGAGUGGAAUAGAAAUUUUGCAGUGGUGUGGCACCACCAAGCACACCUGGCCAGAGGGGUGAACUGAGCAGCAAGUGUGAUCCUGGAAUCCACACGCUCCAGCUAAAAAACUACAUACACAUCCACAGCCUAUUGCUUUCAUCCCCUUUCCUUUUGAUCCGAGCUCACGGAAGAUGGAUUUUGAAGCCAAGGAGGCAGCAGGGAAAAGGGAAAUAGGCCUUCCCCACAUCUCUUUUGUUUAAUUUCAUGCAGAUUCACCACUCUGACACCUGUACUUUUAACACCUGUUUCCUUACCUCUCAAAUGCUAUUCCGCUACUUUUUAGGAGAGGAGCGUGAAGCACAGAAUUGAAGGGUCAGAAUGGACCUGAGGCUGUAACCCCUUUAUAAGAAAGAAUAAUGCAAACAUAAGUUGAAAUUUUACAUGUCUCAUCUUGUUCCUCUCCCAUCCUGGCUUUCUUCCUUUCUGACUCAGCGGAGAUUUAGAUAAUUUGGGUUCAAUAGUCCAUCUGGAGAAAUGACUGGACACAAAUAGAGACACUGGAGUGCAGAUACAGCACCGAGUUGUGAUGUUCCAAAAACAUUCAAAAGGAAGCAAGCCAAAUGUUAAGGAAGAGGGCACUGAAGCACCCAGUCUUUCGUGGCAGACAUGUGAAAUGACCACAAAUGUCGUCGUAAUAGAGAGAUUCCUACCAUGAUUUGCUGCCAGGUUGAGAUGAAGUGCAUUUUAUUAAUAUCUCCUACAUUUGGUAGGUCCCCCAAGGACAAACUCAUCGUGAACUAUUAAAAUCUUAAUGCCCAUGAGGUUACAAGCUUUGAUUCUGUUUGCAACAGUUCUUCAGAGUGUCUGGUACAAAACUGAGGUGGAAAAAAAUCUCACAGUGAAAGGUUCUUGAGAAAGGACAUGGCAGCAUGUUAAUUAUAAAAGGGAAAAUGCUCUAAUUUGGGUUAAGUUUUGUAGAAAAAAGACCUCAGGGAUAUUUCAGGUAGUAACUGGGUUUUACAUAAAUUGAAAUAUAGAUUGGAGACGUUUUUUUGACAGCUGUUUCCUCAAAUUUUUGAUAAUUAAAAAAAGGGCUCCCAAUAUUGCUAA